AAGUAGGCUAGUGGGUUUCAACUAUCUAAAUACAAACUAUUUCGGAUUUCAAUAUAAAAGCUUAAUCUCAAUAUAAAGUACUUAGAAACACUAUUUUUAAUAACUUCAAGAUAUUAUAAACACAAAGACUUUUUUAAUUUGUUAGUUUUGUUUUAUUUUAUUUUAUUUUAUUUUAUUUUUUUAACCCUAAUCCUAGAUAGCGAGCUUCGGCAAGCUAUAAUUCUCAAUCUGACCGUCCGAUUGUUAUAAACUUCUACUACUAGUGUCUUUACAAGCCUUCUAAAUGCUUAAGAAGUUUCAAUCCAAUCUAACUUACAGAUUGCAAGAUAAUGCCGUAAAUCCACACUGAUGUAUCUUGACCACCGCCUAGAAGUCCUCAACUUACCACGCCAAAAGUCACCUUAUUCUAGCU
rnacentral:lncRNA from 1 species